AGUAUGCCCGAGUGGUUAAGGAGGUGGACUUGAAAUUCACUGGGCUUUGCCCGCGCAGGUUCGAAUCCUGUUACUG
rnacentral:ncRNA from 16 species